rnacentral:lncRNA from 1 species
CCCAAAAUUGGAAAAUCCCCCCUUUUUUAAGCAUAAAAAUUCAUAACACGGAAAUGUAAAAUCUGAAAUUUAUAAAAAUUGAAAGGGAGCUUACAUCAAUAGAUAUAAACAAUUCACCAAAGUUUCAUGGACAUUGGUGAAAGCCUUUUGAGUUAUUGUCCGAAGUGUUGAAAAUCCCCCUUUUUUUAUGAAUAAAGCCCCAUAAAUCCAAAACUUAAAAUCUGAAAUUUAUAAAAAUUGAAAGGGAGCUUACAUCAAUAGAUAUAAACAAUUCACCAAAGUUUCAUGGACAUUGGUGAAAGCCUUUUUGAGUUAUUGUCCGAAGUGUUGAAAAUCCCCCUUUUUUUAUGAAUAAAGCCCCAUAAAUCCAAAACUUAAAAUCUGAAAUUUAUAAAAAUUGAAAGGGAGCUUACAUCAAUAGAUAUAAACAAUUCACCAAAGUUUCAUGGACAUUGGUGAAAGCCUUUUGAGUUAUUGUCCGAAGUGUUGAAAAUCCCCCUUUUUUUAUGAAUAAAGCCCCAUAAAUCCAAAACUUAAAAUCUGAAAUUUAAAAAAAAUUGAAAGGGAGCUUACAUCAAUAGAUAUAAACAAUUCACCAAAGUUUCAUGGACAUUGGUGAAAGCCUUUUUGAGUUAUUGUCCGAAGUGUUGAAAAUCCCCCCUUUUUUAUGAAUAAAGCCCCAUAAAUCCAAAACUUAAAAUCUGAAAUUAAAAAAAAACGAAAGGGAGCUUACGUCAAUAGAUAUAAACAAUUCACUUAAGUUUCAUGGAAAUUGGUGAAAGUGUUUUUGAGUUAUUGUCCGAAGUGUGGACGACGGACGGACGGACGGACGGACGGACAACGGUAUACCAUAAUACGUCCCGUCUAAAAGACGACGGGCGUAUAAAAACAAAACUUC